AACGUUCCUCUGCCUUAAUCAUCCCAAGGCCAGGUACCAAGCAAUUUAGAAUCCAUCUAAAUUAUCCAAACCAGUCAACCCCAAAGUGUUUAUUUUGCCUUGCCUCGCUUUUCUUGAGGACACACCAAACAAGUCUUGACCUAGUCUCUCCCUGUGGUUCUGCCCCUUCUGCCUUUAUCAGAUGCUGGUGCUUUUCCCGGUGGCCUUGCAUGGUUUGACAUGCCUUCUAUUUCUAGGACCGGGCAGAGGGCCACCUGCCUAGAGCGGAGUGGAGGGCACUGUCCUUACCGUCUAUGUCACAGAACUGCCUUCCAGUCUCAACUACCUCUGUGAGUCACUCCUUGGAGUUCAGGCAUCCAUCUGAAAUGGAGCUGCGUGUGAACCGGAAGUCUGCUGCUGACAGAAAUUAACAUGCCCUUCAUCCAGGUGUUAAGCUGGGCUUGGGGGAGCAGGACCACGGGCCAGUUAUGCAUGCAGAAGUCCAAAACAGGUCUUACUGGGCUGAGAUCAAGACUACGCCUGGCGCUCUGUACAACAGUCUUACUCUUUCAUACGGGAAAAUCUGCCUUCCCUGCUGAUGAGGUUAAAGAGCGAAAUCCCUGGAUACUCAGCCAGCCUGCGAGCCUGCAGUCGGGGCAGCGCCUGAUUCCCUGGUACCUUGACUGCAAGAGAUUUGGAAGCAGGGUCGACAGUGGCACAGAAGAAUUUGGGAGCUCUGAACGCACCUCCAGCAGCACCGAGAAGGGUGAUGUAGGGCUGGAGUUAGGGAUCAGGAGGGUGGGUUUAUGGGAGCUCUGUCUCCUCUGAGCUGGAGGAGGGGAGGUGAUAGAGGGAGGAAAAGCACCACAGAAGCCAAAUAAGAGAUGGCCAAGGCUGUCACCACUCAUUUUACUGUUUGGCCCACGUGGCCUCAAGCAUGGGGAUUGUGGCCACCAUCUGAAUGAUGAAUUGACCUUUUUAUACCAUAUUCGCCCUUACACAGUCAUGAAGAAUCACAGUUUUCUGUUCUCCAGAUAGUUUGCUUCUAGAUGCAUGAUCGAAUCAUGCCGAUUCCAGCUGAUGACUGACAACAUAUUGAUUCAGGGAGAGCUCAGCGAACAUUUGUGGCACUGAAUUGGAUUUCCUCAGGAGAGGAGGAAAACACAAUGGUUCACCUGCAUGGAGAUUCUUCAGCCAGCUUUUGGAGGAGCCAUUCAGCAUUGCUUGAAACUUCAACUCUUAUUACGUGGUAAACGGGAAGAGGAUGUCUGACUAAUAGACCUCUCAGAGAUCCAGAUGGAGCUGAGAACAGUAGGAACAGAAGGAGCGAAACUAGAGAUUAUACCUUACCAACGUGUUCCGUGAAGAAACAGGUAAAUAACAAGAAGGGCCUUUAUUGUGAGUUGUAAAGCUUGUCCUGAAUGAGAAAGUGGCUGCUUUUCAAUGCUUUGGAAAGAUAGUAGGAGCUGAUGAUAAAAGAGAGGAAAAUGAAGGCCACCUCCCAUUCAUUUCCUCCAUUUGGAUCAGGAACUAUUAACAUCAGCUCUGCAUGGGGUGGCUCUGCUGAGGAGAAACCACAGAGAAUCAUUUGGAGGUGAAGGUUGGCGGCAUCUCAUCUCUUGCCCACAUGUGCAGCUUUGGUGCCGAUCUGUGAAUGACUUCAGAAAGGAAGGAAUUAACACAUCCCCUCUGGAGGCUGACCAGAAGCAGGAAAUGUUUGAUUUUACUCCUUCUCCCUUUAGCAUAAAAGAAGCGUGAAUUCUAACUCAGGACCUGGCCCAGCUUCAAACUUCCAGUCUCUGUGAGGAUGCAAGGAGUAGUCAGCAGUCUGCAACUGGAACAACCUGGAACAACCUGGAAGAGGUCCUUCAGUAGAACCAGACCGUGCUGGCAACCUGAUCUUGGACUUCCAACCUCCAGUACUAUGAGGAAUAAAUUUCUGUUUAAAAGCCA